rnacentral:misc_RNA from 1 species
GCAAACUUGGUCAUUUAGAGGAAGUAAAAGUCGUAACAAGGUUUCCGUAGGUGAACCUGCGGAAGGAUCAUUCAUAAUAGAGUGUUUUAUGGCACUCUAAAAAAAAUCCAUAUCCACCUUGUGUGCAAUGUUAUUCUCCUCAAGUUAGGAAUUAUUUUCUUAAUCUUUGGGGGGUUUUUUCAUAUCAACUCUUUUUAAACAAAAUUGUCUGAAAAAAGUUAUGAAUUUACUUAAUUCAAAACACAACUUUCAACAACGGAUCUCUUGGCUCUCGCAUCGAUGAAGAACGCAGC